UACGGGGGGAGCAAGCGUUGUUCGGAUUUACUGGGCGUAAAGGGCGCGUAGGCGGCCAGCACAAGUCAGUUGUGAAAUCUCCGGGCUCAACCUGGGAACUGCAUUUGUGACUGCACGGCUGGAGUGCGGCAGAGGGGGAUGGAAUUCCGCGUGUAGCAGUGAAAUGCGUAGAUAUGCGGAGGAACACCGAUGGCGAAGGCAAUCCCCUGGGCCUGCACUGACGCUCAUGCACGAAAGCGUGGGGAGCAAACAGG
rnacentral:rRNA from 1 species